UCAGAGCUCGGCUUCAGAUAGGUGU
rnacentral:piRNA from 1 species